GAAGAAGUGAAAUUACUUAUAUUGCUUGUAGAUGCAGUUACGGAAUAACAAAGUUAAAUUUUUAUUAGCUUCAAUACCUGAAAUUAAAACUUCACUAGUUGGACUGUCAUCUAAUGCAGAAAAGUUUUGGACAUCUCACACUUACUACAGAAAAUACAUUCUCUAGGAGAUCUUGAUUAAGAUGAGUAACUAGCGAGUUGAAUCUAUACUCUGCCGAAGUAAGAAAAAUUAACUCAUCUAUGAAGAGUGGAGCAUUAACUGACGACCUAUAUACACCUACUUGUGGAUGGUUCAAAAUUGCUGAUGGUUUUCUACGAAAUACAGUUGUUUUACGUGAAACGCAUGAUAAUUUGGCAAGCCAAGUAUCAUCCAAUGAUGGUGUUUCAGAAGAUUUACCUAGUACGUCGGAACAUUCACCAGCUAGGACAACCCAAGCCAAUUCUGAAAUAAUUGAGGUUAUCCCGAGGGUUACCCAAACACCUAAGCGUAAAAAAAUAAUUCAGAAAAGUGAUCCUGCUACUACAGCUGUAGAAAAAUUAGAAAAUAUAUGCAAAACUAGUGCAGACGCAUUACAGGAGGAUGAAUUUGAAAUUUAUGGAAGAUACAUAGCCUCGCAGCUACGAUCGAUGGACUUAGAAAAAGCUAUUGAUGUUCAAAAUCAGAUUAACAACAUUUUAUCAAAGUCAAGAAUAGAAGACAUCAAAUGCAAAAAGAGUCUCCACAACACUUUUUCAAUUCCUUAUCCGGAAGAGAGUUUAGUAGAUAUAAAUUUACCACCACCAGGUAACCAGACUAAAGUUGAGGUAUAUGAUAUAAGUACAGAAGAGGAUAGUGAUAUAAUGUUUAUUGAAAAACCUGGGCAUUCUAGUGACAUUUUGUCACAAUCUGUGAAUUCUAUUUUCCGAUAUACUGAUUUGUAAAA